rnacentral:snRNA from 1 species
UGCUUGCUCUGGUAGCACAUUCGCUAAGAUGUGAACCAGAGAAGACGGACAUAGCCCCCAUGCAAGGACAGGCAUGUUUAUGAGG